GUGCCAGCCGCCGCGGUAAGACGUAGGAGGCGAGCGUUAUCCGGAUUCACUGGGCGUAAAGCGCAAGUAGGCGGUUGUGCAAGUCAUGUGUUAAAGCCCCUGGCUCAACUGGGGGAGGUCAUGUGAGACUGCGCGACUUGAGGGCAACAGAGGCAUGUGGAACUCCCGGUGUAGCGGUGGAAUGCGUAGAGAUCGGGAAGAACACCCGUGGCGAAGGCGGCAUGCUGGGUUGCGACUGACGCUGAGUUGCGAAAGUGUGGGGAGCAAACGGGAUUAGAUACCCCAGUAGUCC
rnacentral:rRNA from 1 species